UACGUAGGGGGCAAGCGUUGUCCGGAUUUAUUGGGCGUAAAGAGCGUGUAGGCGGCCUGACAAGUCUGCUGUGAAAACUCGAGGCUCAACCUCGAGACGCCGGUGGAAACUGCAAAGCUAGAGUCCGGAAGAGGAGAGUGGAAUUCCUGGUGUAGCGGUGAAAUGCGCAGAUAUCAGGAAGAACACCCGUGGCGAAGGCGGCUCUCUGGGACGGUACUGACGCUGAGACGCGAAAGCGUGGGGAGCGAACAGG
rnacentral:rRNA from 1 species